GAAACUGAAAUUUAAAGGAUUUUAACUGCUGAACGUUUUAUCAACUUUCUACAAAGUCUUACUGUUUUCAGGAAAUAGCUCUGCAGUCUGAGUCUGACACUGACAAAAGCUUCCCGUCUUCUCACGACUCUGAUCCAUUACCUCACCGGCUGCCAGCGAUAGCUUGACUGAUCAGACGUCUCCUCGAGUGACUGCAGAUUACAUUUGCUCUGCAGGUCUCGCUGAAGCUGGAGCCGAGGAUCUCAAACUGGACGUGGGAGUUGGAGCCGCUGUCCUUAAAAUCCAUCGUACCGGUCAGACCU